rnacentral:rRNA from 1 species
UACGAAGGGGGCUAGCGUUGCUCGGAAUUACUGGGGCGUAAAGGGCGCGUAGGCGGCUUAGUUAGUCAGGCGUGAAAUUCCUGGGCUCAACCUGGGGACUGCGCUUGAUACGGCUAGGCUAGAGGAUGGAAGAGGGUCGCGGAAUUCCCAGUGUAGAGGUGAAAUUCGUAGAUAUUGGGAAGAACACCGGUGGCGAAGGCGGC